rnacentral:rRNA from 1 species
UACGUAGGGUGCGAGCGUUGUCCGGAUUUAUUGGGCGUAAAGAGCUCGUAGGCGGUUUGUCGCGUCGGCCGUGAAAUCUCCACGCUUAACGUGGAGCGUGCGGUCGAUACGGGCAGACUUGAGUUCGGUAGGGGAGACUGGAAUUCCUGGUGUAGCGGUGAAAUGCGCAGAUAUCAGGAGGAACACCGGUGGCGAAGGCGACAUCCUGGACCGGUAUUGACGCCUGAGGCGCGGAAAGCCCAGGGGAGCAAACGGG